AGCGAACGCUGGCGGCAGGCCUAACACAUGCAAGUCGAACGCCCAGCAAUGGGAGUGGCAGACGGGAUAGUAACACGUGGGAACGCGCCCUUCGGUUCGGAAUAACUCAGGGAAACUUGAGCUAAUACCGGAUACGCCUUACGGGAAGAUUAUUGCCGAAGGAACGGCCCGCGUCGGAUUAGCUAGUUGGUGAGGUAAUGGCUCACCAAGGCGACGAUCCGUAGCUGGUCUGAGAGGAUGACCAGCAUCACUGGGACUGAGACACGGCCCAGACUCCUACGGGAGGCAGCAGUGGGGAAUAUUGGACAAUGGGCGCAAGCCUGAUCCAGCCAUGCCGCGUGGAUGAUGAAGGCCC
rnacentral:rRNA from 1 species